rnacentral:rRNA from 1 species
UACGUAGGGUGCGAGCGUUAAUCGGAAUUAUUGGGCGUAAAGGGCGCGUAGGCGGUUUUUUAAGUCGGAUGUGCAAUCCCUGGGCUCAACCCAGGAACUGCAUCCGAGACUGGAAGGCUAGAGUACUGGAGAGGGUGGUGGAAUUCCUCGUGUAGCGGUGAAAUGCGUAGAUAUGUGGAGGAACACCAGUGGCGAAGGCGGCUUCCUGGACUAAAACUGACACUGAGGCACGAAAGCGUGGGUAGCAAACAGG